rnacentral:rRNA from 1 species
ACAGCAGUAGCCGCGGUAAUACGUAGGGUGCGAGCGUUAAUCGGAAUUACUGGGCGUAAAGCGUGCGCAGGCGGUUGUGUAAGACAGGUGUGAAAUCCCCGGGCUUAACCUGGGAACUGCGCUUGUGACUGCACAGCUAGAGUAUGGCAGAGGGGGGUGGAAUUCCACGUGUAGCAGUGAAAUGCGUAAAGAUGUAGAGGAACACCGAUGGCGAAGGCAGCCCCCUGGGCCAAUACUGACGCUCAUGCACGAAAGCGUGGGGAGCAAACAGGAUUAGAUACCCGCGUAGUCCCUGUCUCUUAUAC